rnacentral:rRNA from 1 species
CUUCGGGGGUACACGAGUGGCGAACGGGUGAGUAACACGUGGGUAAUCUGCCCUGCACUUCGGGAUAAGCCUGGGAAACUGGGUCUAAUACCGGAUAUGAACUCCUGCCGCAUGGUGGGGGUUGGAAAGUUUUUCGGUGCAGGAUGAGCCCGCGGCCUAUCAGCUUGUUGGUGGGGUAAUGGCCUACCAAGGCGACGACGGGUAGCCGGCCUGAGAGGGUGAUCGGCCACACUGGGACUGAGACACGGCCCAGACUCCUACGGGAGGCAGCAGUGGGGAAUAUUGCACAAUGGGCGAAAGCCUGAUGCAGCGACGCCGCGUGGGGGAUGACGGUCUUCGGAUUGUAAACCCCUUUCAGUAGGGACGAAGCGCAAGUGACGGUACCUGCAGAAGAAGCACCGGCUAACUACGUGCCAGCAGCCGCGGUAAUACGUAGGGUGCGAGCGUUGUCCGGAAUUACUGGGCGUAAAGAGCUCGUAGGCGGUUUGUCACGUCGUCUGUGAAAUCCCUCGGCUUAACCGGGGGCGUGCAGGCGAUACGGGCAGACUUGAGUACUACAGGGGAGACUGGAAUUCCUGGUGUAGCGGUGAAAUGCGCAGAUAUCAGGAGGAACACCGGUGGCGAAGGCGGGUCUCUGGGUAGUAACUGACGCUGAGGAGCGAAAGCAUGGGUAGCGAACAGGAUUAGAUACCCUGGUAGUCCAUGCCGUAAACGGUGGGCGCUAGGUGUG